GCACGUAAGAAAACAGUCAACCAGGCUCAUCAGAUCUCGAUCUGCUUCAUCUCUCAAAGGACGCCCCAGCCCCGAGAGGAGCCGCCGCCGCCGGGGAACGAGAGGAGCCGCCGCCUCCAGGUCACCGUUGCCCUCGCCCUCGCAUCCAUACCUUCGCCGUCGCCCUCGCGCUCGCGGAUCCCUGAAAUGCCGCCGAUCCGAGACAAGUCGUCGCCGCGAGGAACGAGACGAGCCACCGGCGCCGAGGAACGAGACGAGCUAGGGUUCCAUACGCCGCCGCCGUCCCAACCACGAACGCCGACGCCGGCUGUAGCCGUCACGCCGCCAGCCAUCCAUGCCUCGUAGCCGUCGCAGCCAGUGCUUCCCCACUGAACGAGCGCCAAGGAGAAACACCGCUGUCUUUCUACAUGGUGGCCGCUCCCCUCGAUCCCCUCCAUCGCCUCCGCCGCCGCCGAGGUACGAGAUCGCCUCCAUCUUGUUCCUUCCCUGGCCACGCCCCUCCCAGUUUCUUCCCCUCAUCCAGCUAGGGUUCUCACCCGCCGCCGCUUCCCUGCUGCUACCCGCCACCGGAUGCCCUCCACGGACACCACCACCAUGAUGGCGGAAUGAAGAGCAAGAGGGGUCGUCGAGGAUGGGUGCCGUCGUGAGGAUGCUGGUGCCCGUGUGCGGUGAUGGCAUUGUGGCGGAAGAAGGUCUUCUUCCUGGGGAGCCGCUACCAGCCUCCGUCUCCACCCGCGGCCACGCUAAAAAGACAGAUCUCAAUACUUGCUUGCUAAUGUGCAUGUGUGGAUGUUGCUGGUUGCUGCUGCUGUGCACGUCUGCUUGGUGUGCCCCUGCUGUUUUGUGUUCUCACCACCACAUCCACGACAAAUAAAAUUUCUUAGUUUUCUUAGAAUGGUUCAGGUUCGAUAUGUCAGGUCUGAAGUACGCUCCUGAGUUAAAGAAAGACCUCGAGAGACUCUGUAGUGUGUAUGCAGGAACUAAAGACAUGUAUUAGAGAAUGAAGCAUUCUUCUUGCUUAUUGUUUGUCAAAUGCUAUAUUAAAGCACUGUAUCAAUUCCAUUAUUAUUUACACGAAGGGACGGAUUAGGACCUGUGGGAUCAUGGCUCUUUCAGCUUGAACAGUAUUUGUGAUGUAUCCUUCACUUACCGUGCCACGGGGUUGUCGCGGAUAUUGGUGGAGGACUUGGUGGACUAGCGCAAAAUGGAAAUCUAUAAAGAAGUGAAACUAAUCAGCUAUGGUUCUCCUGGAGUAUUUGUGCAACCAGCAGGCCGCCCAUGAGAAAUAUGAUGUUCUUUAUGCAUUUAAAAAACUACUAAAGGGAAAGUUGUGAAUGUUGUAUUGCAGAGCGUAUGCGUCAGAGGCCAGUCGGCAGAGGUGCAUGCAGGUUUGUGCUUGAGGGUGCACGCGAGCCGGCGGCUACAGGCAGAGGGUGCAGCCUGUGUGUGCGUGUUGUGGUCGCCUGAUUUGAUUGUAAAUCGUGUAGAGCAAAGGCGGCUUCUGUGGCGCCGGAGCAACAAUUUCAGUGAGCACAUGGACUUGAUGCAGGGAGGGUCGUCGAAGAGAAGGACGGCGGCCCAGCCUACACAUGAUGGAACACACAUUGCCGACGAUGCGGUACCAGGCCUGGAGAAGAGAUCCCGAGGUGUUUGAUGAAAUGACCUUCGUCCGAAAAUACUUGUCAUCAAAAUGAAUAAAAGGAGAUCACAAUGUUGGACACGACCACCUAAGAAUCAAAUAUUUUUAGUUGGAAUACUAUUUUAAUGAUCAAUCACAAUGUUGGACGCGACCACCUACUUAUUCCCGAGACUUUAAGUCUUUGGUGGCUUAAGCACAAUAUGCCCGGCAUAUGUUCUACAUCUGCGGCAUGUAAUGACCCUACUGGCAUUUCAAGAGGUCUGUAAAUACAACACUCUUCCAAAGUAUUUCCAAGUAAGUGUUCACCUCGUGAGAUUUAUUAAAUGUUUUAGAUAUCUCGCUUGUGAAUGCUCAUCGGUAGCUAAUAUCCCGAGUAUUUUGAUAACGGGUUUAGAUCUGGACAGUUAUUGAGCCUGCAUUGAUGAAAUAGUUGACAAAGAAGGAACUGAAAUGAGGUUAUUGAGGCUGCAUUUAAGAAUUUUGGUUGAUGAGCUGAUAUCUGACCAAAAACUCAAGAACUAGAAGCAAGCCUGACAUCCUUUUUCUGUAAUCGGUAUAUUCUCGGUAGCAAGCCUGUCAUCCUUUUGUAUCCACAUGAGGCUUAGGGGCCGUUUGGAUUAGCACCAACGUCGAUACUAUGAGCAGUGAGCAAGUCAUGUAUAAAGCAAAAACAAAAUAUUGGUCUGCUAUCAAAUGGUACAUUUAUUUGAACUCUAAGGGCAGGUUCAGGGUCUCAUGAAGAGGGCAUGUGUUUGUAUUAGGUGAGAUCUGAACUGAUUCUGACUAAUGUGAAAUUAAUUUUGUUGUUGAUGGAUCUGCAAUUAUUUAUGUGCACAGAAGUGCUGUAGUUGAGAAGCCUGAGAAGAAUAUAUCACUUAGGUACAGAUUCGAGCUAGGGUUUUUCAUUUUCUCCUUCCAAUCCAUUUAUUAUGCGAUAAUUUGCCCAUAAAAGACAUACAUGAUGGUCGUCGUUGGACAGACUAUAUUUGUUUACUUCUACCCAUAAAUUUAAAGUCCUGAACAUGUAUAUUACACAUCUCUUGCAGGAUAUAUUAAUAUUAAACUAUGUGUGCGUUCCACUGCAUUCAUCUAUUUAAGGCAUGAUAUUUGUAAGCUUGGUUCAGGCUGCCGCGCAUCUAUCUAUAUAAUGCACAAUAUUUCUAUGCUUGGUUCAGGUUGUUUCCGACAACCAUUGGCAAUCUGUCCCUAUGUCAUUCCUCUUAUAUAUACAUAAGAACUGUCUACACAGAUCAGAGUGUGUGUAUGAGGGUCGUUUCCAUUUGUGUUCUGUUCCCUUUAUUGUUUUAUCAAUGUAAAACCCUUGAAAAAUUAUCCAUUCCUUUUUCACAGAUCAGAAGGUUUUGCAGUUGACAAGCUUACAGGUUUGAGCACCCCAAACAACGGGGUGGGCCCUUUGACCUGUGGGUUCUGCUGGUACCAAGAGAAGGAGGUUCCUUUUAACCUGCAGGAGCUCUGCCAAUGGCAGCGUGCUUUCCUUGACAAUGAUGUGGUACUGCACGUACACAACAUGCAGCAAGUGAAAUCGGCGCAAGAGGGCAUCUUGCAAGCAGCACCAAAUCCUAUAUUAUGGGACCGAGUGAGUAUCUCAAAGAAGAAAUAAUUUUUUUGAUGUAGGAAUAUCUGUAGGCUGAUUAUGCUUUGAUGUAUAGAUCGCAGUAGCACUUAGAUAAAAUAUAAGUUCUUAGCCAGUUCAAUAGUACUUUUGUCGAACAAAGCUCAAUUGACAUUACGCGAAAACCUUGAGAAUACCUGAGGGGACAAGGCAAGUGUUGUUUGUAAUGACUUGUGUUAUGAUAUUGCAAAAUAGAUUAGACGGAAAA